rnacentral:rRNA from 1 species
UAAUAGUGUAUAUUAAAGUUGUUGCAGUUAAAAAGCUCGUAGUUGAAUGUUGGUGUCGAACGAGCGGUCAGCUUCGGCUGUACUGCUCUCUCGACUCCUUCCUUCUGUGGACUACGUCGUACUUUACUGUGUGGCGCUAGGACGCAGAUCGUUUACUGUGAAAAAAUUAGAGUGUUCAAAGCAGGCCGUACGCUUGAAUACAUUAGCAUGGAAUAAUGGAAUAGGACGUCGGGCCUAUUUUGUUGGUUCUAGGACCGUCGUAAUGAUUAAUAGGGACAGUUGGGGCCGUUUAUAUUCCGUAGUCAGAGGUGAAAUUCUUGGAUUUACGGAAGAUAAACUACUGCGAAAGCAUUCGGCAAGGAUGUUUUCGUUAA